AAUGGAAGAUUCAUAUUAGGAUAAAAGAUUAAUCAGGUUUACAUCCAAUACUGACAAGGUGAAUAAUAAGUAUUAUCUUGAGCCUACUUCUUUGGAAGAGAUAGUCUGGUAUGGACUUUGGUUCCUUUAUUUGCAGUUUGGGUCUUUAUUUGCAGUUUAGGACUCUAAUUUUUUUGAUUCAUUCAUAUGAUAAGACAAAGUAGUCUUACUUGUUGCAGAAAGAAAAGUUGUGGUUUUUUGGAAGAGAUAGUCUGAAAGAAAAGUUGUGCUUUUUUGAAGUACGAAUAGAAGUUUUACAGCUGACAAAUCGGUGUUAAGGGAAACUGCAACAACAAAUGGC